UAAUACAUGCAAGUCGUACGGGAGUCCCCCUUCGGGGGGAUGAGAGUGGCGGACGGGUGCGUAACGCGUAUGCAACCCACCCCUGUCAGCCGGAUAGCCUUGGGAAACCGGGGGUAACACGGCAUGUUCCCGCGUGGGGGCAUCCCCAAGCGGGCAAAGCGGCGACGCGGACGGGGACGGGCAUGCGUGCCAUUAGCUUGUUGGCGGGGCGACGGCCCACCAAGGCUACGAUGGCUAGGGGAUCUGAGAGGACGGUCCCCCACACUGGUACUGAGACACGGACCAGACUCCUGCGGGAGGCAGCAGUAAGGGAUAUUGGGCAAUGGGGGGAACCCUGACCCAGCCAUGCCGCGUGAGGGAAUGAGGCCCCAGUGGUCGUGAACCUCUUUUGCGCGGGGACAAGGACGCGGUCGCGAAACGCGUUUGAGGGU
rnacentral:rRNA from 1 species